AUGAACGCUGGCGGCGUGCCUAAUACCUGCAAGUCGAGCGAACAGACGAGGAGCUUGCUCCUCUGACGUUAGCGGCGGACGGGUGAGUAACACGUGGAUAACCUACCUAUAAGACUGGGAUAACUUCGGGAAACCGGAGCUAAUACCGGAUAAUAUAUUGAACCGCAUGGUUCAAUAGUGAAAGACGGUUUUGCUGUCACUUAUAGAUGGAUCCGCGCCGCAUUAGCUAGUUGGUAAGGUAACGGCUUACCAAGGCAACGAUGCGUAGCCGACCUGAGAGGGUGAUCGGCCACACUGGAACUGAGACACGGUCCAGACUCCUACGGGAGGCAGCAGUAGGGAAUCUUCCGCAAUGGGCGAAAGCUUGACGGAGCAACGCCGCGUGAGUGAUGAAGGUCUUCGGAUCGUAAAACUCUGUUAUUAGGGAAGAACAAAUGUGUAAGUAACUAUGCACGUCUUGACGGUACCUAAUCAGAAAGCCACGGCGAACUACGU
rnacentral:rRNA from 1 species